UUCCGGGACAAGCCGGAUCAUCACAUUCAUGACCAACUCGUGUUAUUCCGGGACAAGCCGAAUAGCGACUCGUGCCAGUCUGGAAGGAUUUCAUGGUGACGCAUUAACAUCAAAACUACUAGUACUUUAAACAAGAACGAUAACUCUAUUCCUGUUUGAUUCCAAUGGUACUUCAUAAUAUCACCGAAGCCC